GACGGGACCGCACAGCGGUGGAUGAUGUGGAUUAAUUCGAUGCAACGCGAAAAACCUUACUACCCUUGACAUGUCCGGAAUCCCGAAGAGAUUUGGGAGUGCUCGCAAGAGAGCCGGAACACAGGUGCUGCAUGGCUGUCGUCAGCUCGUGUCGUGAGAUGUUGGGUUAAGUCCCGCAACGAGCGCAACCCUUGUCAUUAGUUGCCAUCAUUUGGUUGGGCACUCUAAUGAGACUGCCGGUGACAAACCGGAGGAAGGUGGGGAUGACGUCAAGUCCUCAUGGCCCUUAUGGGUAGGGCUUCACACGUCAUACAAUGGCCGGUACAGAGGGUAGCCAACCCGCGAGGGGGAGCCAAUCCCACAAAGCCGGUCGUAGUCCGGAUCGCAGUCUGCAACUCGACUGCGUGAAGUCGGAAUCGCUAGUAAUCGCGGAUCAGCAUGUCGCGGUGAAUACGUUCCCGGGUCUU
rnacentral:rRNA from 1 species